GACGAACGCUGGCGGUGUGCCUAAUACAUGCAAGUCGAGCGAGCGGCGGACGGGUGAGUAAUGUAUGGGGGCUGCCCGAUAGAGGGGGAUAACUACUGGAAACGGUGGCUAAUACCGCAUACUAUCGGAUAACCCAUAUGGGAUUAGCUAGUAGGUGGGGUAAAGGCUCACCUAGGCCACGAUCUCUAGCGGGUUUGAGAGGAUGACCAGCCACACGGGAAGUGAGACACGGCCAAGAGUACUCCGGAGGCAGCAGUGGGUAAUAUUGCACAAUGGGCGCAAGCCGGAUGCAGCCAUGCCGCGUGUAUGAAUAAGGCCUUAGGGGUGUAAAGUACUUUCAGCGGGGAGGCGUUACCCGCAGAAGAAGCACCGGCUAACUACGUGCCAGCCGCCGCGGUAAUAC
rnacentral:rRNA from 1 species